GUUAUGUAGCAUAUUUCUGCGCAACACAUUGCGUUAGUGAGAGGGGGGAAAGCAAAAUAUUGUUGCAAAAACGCCCCCGCACUAACCAACAGUAACAGGAACGGGACAAAAAGAAAAAGAGGACAGGUGCGUAACGAUACCGCAUACAAAAACUUUUGCUUGUUUCCUCUUCGGGAAACUCAUUCAAUGUUCUAUCACAGAACUGGAUAGUGUAUACACAUAAGCACACACACACACACACACAAACAGCAGCGCAUGAGAGAAGCAAAGAGAGCAGCCGACUGGGAGUAAUCAUCAGAGAGGGAGAGAGAGCACAGCGCGUAACUGUGCCGCUAUUUGAUUUUAUACACAAUUUGUUUCAUUAUUCUUCAGUUGCUGUUGCGGCUGCUGGUGCUAUUGGUAUUGUUGUUGCUGUUAAUGGAAACAUGUUCUGCAUUUGAAUUAAAAUUCAAUGGCUUCGUAUUCGGCACAGUUGCUAAUUAAAGCACGCAUUUACCAGUAAUAUGUUAGAAUGCUGUUCGCGUGCCAGUACUGAAGUGGCUGCUGAAUGAAAAAGGUGGCAACUGCAAAAAGCGACAAAGGGCACACUUCCAUGGUAUGGCCACGAUAGUCAGGCAACUGCAACAAGAGCAGGGAAUCGCAAUGGGUUCGUGUGUUUAUGCUAAACACAUUUUAAACUACCCAGUGACAUGCAACGGCAGCGAUGACGUCUACUAAGCAGAAAAUGUGGGCGGCAGGUGGCGCAUAUUCAUUUAUUUUCUUUGCUUUCUUUAUAAAAAUAUACAAACGGCAGAACAACAGUCAUUUGUUGGUUCAAAAUAUAUGAAUAAUUGAA